rnacentral:rRNA from 1 species
CCUACGGGAGGCAGCAGUGGGGAAUCUUCCACAAUGGGCGAAAGCCUGAUGGAGCAACGCCGCGUGGGUGAAGAAGGUCUUCGGAUCGUAAAACCCUGUUGUUAGAGAAGAAAGUGCGUGAGAGUAACUGUUCACGUUUCGACGGUAUCUAACCAGAAAGCCACGGCUAACUACGUGCCAGCAGCCGCGGUAAUACGUAGGUGGCAAGCGUUAUCCGGAUUUAUUGGGCGUAAAGGGAACGCAGGCGGUCUUUUAAGUCUGAUGUGAAAGCCUUCGGCUUAACCGGAGUAGUGCAUUGGAAACUGGGAGACUGGAGUGCAGAAGAGGAGAGUGGAACUCCAUGUGUAGCGGUGAAAUGCGUAGAUAUAUGGAAGAACACCAGUGGCGAAAGCGGCUCUCUGGUCUGUAACUGACGCUGAGGUUCGAAAGCGUGGGUAGCAAACAGGAUUAGAUACCCGAGUAGUC